AGAGCGAACGCUGGCGGCAGGCCUAAUACAUGCAAGUCGAACGGAUCCUUCGGGAUUAGUGGCGGACGGGUGAGUAACACGUGGGAACGUGCCCUUUGGUUCAGAACAACUCAGGGAAACUUGAGCUAAUACUGGAUAAGCCCUUCGGGGGAAAGAUUUAUCGCCAUUGGAGCGGCCCGCGUCUGAUUAGCUAGUUGGUAGGGUAAAGGCCUACCAAGGCUACGAUCAGUAGCUGGUCUGAGAGGAUGAUCAGCCACACUGGGACUGAGACACGGCCCAGACUCCUACGGGAGGCAGCAGUAGGGAAUCUUGCGCAAUGGGCGAAAGCCUGACGCAGCCAUGCCGCGUGAAUGAUGAAGGUCUUAGGAUUGUAAAAUUCUUUCAGCGGGACGAUAAUGACGGUACCCGCAGAAGAAGCCCCGGCUAACUUCGUGCCAGCAGCCGC
rnacentral:rRNA from 1 species